rnacentral:rRNA from 1 species
AUACGGAGGGUGCAAGCGUUAUUCGGAAUCACUGGGCGUAAAGGACGCGUAGGCGGGUUGGAAAGUCUGAUGUGAAAUCCUACAGCUUAACUGUAGAACUGCAUUGGAAACUUCCAACCUAGAGUAUGGGAGGGGGAGAUGGAAUUAGUGGUGUAGGGGUAAAAUCCGUAGAUAUCACUAGGAAUACCUAAAGCGAAGGCGAUCUCCUGGAACAUUACUGACGCUAAGGCGUGAAAGCGUGGGGAGCAAACGGGAUUAGAAACCCUAGUAGUCC